GGAGAGGUGGCCGAGUGGUCGAUGGCGCACGCUUGGAAAGCGUGUAUAGGGGAAACUCUAUCGUGGGUUCGAAUCCCACUCUCUCCGCCA
rnacentral:tRNA from 1 species